UACGUAGGCAGCGAGCGUUGUUCGGAAUUACUGGCGUAAAGAGUGUGUAGGCGGUGCUCUAAGUUCGGUGUGAAAUCUCCUGGCUCAACUGGGAGGGUGCGCCGGAAACUGGAGUGCUUGAGCGUGGGAGAGGAAAGCGGAAUUCCUGGUGUAGCGGUGAAAUGCGCAGAUAUCAGGAGGAACACCGGUGGCGAAGGCGGGUCUCUGGGCCGAUACUGACGCUGAGGAGCGAAAGCGUGGGGAGCGAACAGG
rnacentral:rRNA from 1 species